AGCAGCCGCGGUAAUUCCAGCUCCAAUAGCGUAUAUUAAAGUUGUUGCAGUUAAAAAGCUCGUAGUUGAACCUUUGGCCUGGCUGGCAGGUCCGCCUCACCGCGUGCACUUGUCCGGCCGGGCCUUCUCUUCUGGAGAACCGCAUGCCCUUCACUGGGUGUGUUGGGGACCAGGACUUUUACUUUGAAAAAAUUAGAGUGUUCAAAGCAGGCCUUUGCUCGAAUACGUUAGCAUGGAAUAAUAGAAUAGGACGUGCGGUCCUAUUUUGUUGGUUUCUA
rnacentral:rRNA from 1 species